rnacentral:rRNA from 1 species
ACUACGGGAGGCUGCAGUGAGGAAUAUUGGUCAAUGGACGAGAGUCUGAACCAGCCAAGUAGCGUGAAGGAUGACUGCCCUAUGGGUUGUAAACUUCUUUUAUAUGGGAAUAAAACGUUCCACGUGUGGCAUUUUGUAUGUACCAUAUGAAUAAGGAUCAGCUAACUCCGUGCCAGCAGCCGCCGUAAUACGGAGGCUCCCAGCGUUAUCCGGAGUUAGUGUGUUUAAAGGUAGCGUAGGUGGAUGGUUAAUGCGGUUGUGAAAGUUUGGGGCUCAAACGUAAAAUUGCAGUUGAGACUGGCAGUCUGGAGUACAGUAGGGGUAGGCGGAAUUCGUGGUGUAGCGGUGAAAUGCGUAGAUAGCACGAAGAACUCCGAUUGCGAAGGCAGUUCACUGGACUGCAACUGACACUGAGGCUCGAAAGUGUGGGGAUCAAACAGGAUUAGAUACCCUUGUAGUC